UUUUAUACAGCCGUUUAUGUUUAUAGUUAUUUGCUUGUUUGUCCAAUUUUAUUUGUUGGCAGAAACUCCAGAGUGCUUCAUCUGCAGAGACGUGCAGCUGGUGGAUGGAGAACCGCUGAGGAGGUUCUGCGACUGCAAGAACCUGGUGGCCCACCAUAGCUGCCUGAUCACCUGGGUCAAAAAGGGGCUCGGCAGUGAGGACAGACUGAGAUGCAGUGCCUGUAAUGCUGAGUAUGAGCAGUGUCAGACGGCCGCAUGGAGGACUUUGGCCAGCCAGUGGCAGACAUGGCCUGUGAUGGUUGUGGGCGUGGUCUUGCUGGCCCUGGUACCAUAUACAGUGUUCCACAUGUUAACAGCCUUCCAGAACCCCCCUCCUCACGCACUGUUCAGAACCGCUGCUAUUUGCUUUGGCCUGCUGACCGAAACCCUGCUGGUCAGGUGUUUGUUCUGCUAUGUGAAUGGUCGCUACCGGCAGGCGGAGCACACCUCCUUCAGUCUGCAACCACGGGGCCUGGAGGAGGAGCAUGAGGCCAUGGGGGUCAAAGGGCAUGGUCUGCAGGUGGAGGAAGAGGAGGGAAGUCGGGAAAGGGGUGUGAACAGAGGCCAACAUCGCCCCCUAUGGCCCCGGAGGAGCUGCCCUGCAGUGAGGAAGGAGAAGCAGAUGGACUCUCAGUGACUCUUUAACUGCUGGACCCUGUGGAGCGCUACCCUGCUGUCCUGCCUGGCCAACAGUCAGCAGGUCCGAACCCGGCCCGAGCAGCAGUGCGGGAUGUUCUCUUAUUGAUGAAAUUUAACUGGGCUGAGGCUGAAAUGGUUCUGAACUUACGUUCCUGUUAGAAACACACCUGAGACUGAGACACUGUAUUACUUGAUUGGUUGAGUCAGGUGUUGUCACUGGAAAAAGUGACAACACUUUUAAUAAUUGGACUCCCUCCAGGUCAUUAGCUGGUUUUCCAUCCACUGAGUUUUUGCAAUGUUUAAAAAGGUGCAUAAAAAACAUGAAUACAGAAUUCUAAAAUAUUGCAAAAGGUUUUUAUUUUUUUUUUUAUUAUUUUGUAUCUAUUUUGUACCCUACCCUAACCUUAUACUACCCUAUACUGCUCUGUAAGACCUAUACAUUCCAAUAGGUCCACCCUUUAAAACCCUUAAUACCUUUAACCAUUUAUACCUUCAGCCCUGUACUACAUAUACAAGCUUAUACUAGCCUAUAUAACCCAAGACUAUUCUAUACCACCCUAUACUGCCCCAUUCUACCAUAUAACAUGUACCAUUCUAUGCUACAGUAUAUACUUUACACUAUAUUCCUUAUACAUUCUGUCCUACCCUUUACUAUCCUAUGCUCCCUAUUCUGCCCUAUACCACCCUAUACAAUUCUACUUUCCACACUAGCCUAUAAUACUCCAUACUACCUAUACUGCCCUGUACUACAUAUACAUUCCUAUACCACCCUUUCUAACCCAUACUACCCUUAACUCCUUAUACAGCCCUGUACUACCUAUACAUUCUUUUACUAGCCUAUGUAACUAACCUAGACUACCCCAAACUCCCUAUAUUACCCUAUACAGCCCCAUUCUACCCUAAUACCAUAUAAUAUCCUAUGCUACAAUAUACUACCCUUACCAUCCUUAUAACCCUCCCCUCUAACUUAUGCUACCCUUAACUCUGUAUACAGCCCUGUUACCACCUAUACAAUCUUAUACUAUCCUAUACUGCAACAACAUAUAUAUAUAUUACCAUAUACAACCCCAUUUUACCUUUUUUUUACCAUUCUAUGCUUCAGAAUACUACCCUAUAUUCCCUACACUAUUCUUUACUGUCAUAUAUUCCCUAUACUACCCUACACCACCCUUUCUAACCCAUACUACCCUUAACUCCUUAUACAGCCCUGUGCUACCUAUACAAUCUUAUACUAGCCUAUAUAACUGAUGUAGACUACCCUAAACUCCCUAUAUUACCCUAUACAUUCUACCCUUAUACCAUAUGAUAUCCUAUACUACAAUAUACAAUAUACUACCCUUUACUACCCUUAGAACCCUACUCUAACCCAUACUACCCUUAACGCCAUAUACAGCCCUGUUACCACCAAUACAAUCCUAUACUAUCCUAUACUACAACAAUAUAUAUUACCUAUAUUACCGUAUACAACCCCAUUUUACCAUAUCACACCAUAUACCAUUCUAUGCUUCAGAAUGCUACCCUAUAUUCCCUACACACUCUGUACUAUCUUUUACUAUCAUAUCCUCCCUAUAAUACCCUAUACCACCCUUUAUAUUCCUACCCUUACCUCUACUACACUAAACUCCUUGUACUGUCCUCUACUACCUAUACAAUCUUACACUAGCCUAUAUUACCCUAUACAAUCCUAUACUAUUGAAAACUCCUCAUAUUACACUAUAUAGCCCCACUAUAACAUAUAAUACCAUAUACCAUUCUAUGCUAAAGUAUACUACCUUAUAUUCCCCUCACACUCUCUACUAUCCUUUAUUAUACUCCCUAUGCUGCCCUAUACUAUCACUAUCCUUCCCUGUACUCCCUAUACCAUCCCAUAUCCGCCUACACUAUCCCAUGCUCAACUAUACUACCCUAGCCUCCUUAUACACCCCUAUCCUACCCUAUACCCCCUAUUCCUUCCUACAUCUCCCUGUAUUAGUCAAUACUUCCCUAUAUUUCCUUUUCUAUCCUAUACUUCCUGUACUAUGCUACUCUCUUUAUAGUAACAUAUACUCAAACACUAUUAUAUACUUCCUAUACUACCCUGUACUACCCCAUACUCCAUGCAUUACCCUUCUAUGGUGCCAUAUACUGACUUAUUUGCCUUAUAGUAUCCUAUACUCACUAUACUACCCUAUACCCUCUAUACUCACCAUACUAUCAUAUACUCUGCAGCAGUGUCCAGGGCAUAUGAGUGACUUGUUCUAAUCACAGUGGCCUAUUUCUUCUAAAGUUUCUUAACAUUACUGCAGUGGAUGGAAACACAACUUAUUUUUAUUCCAAUUUUUUGUAAUUGCAUAAAACUUUUGCGAAACUCUUGGAUGGAAUCCCAGCUAUUGAGAGCCACAAAUAUGAAGACAGUUAUUCUUUACCUUAAUCUUUACUCUUUAGUGUCACUGUAAUAUAAGAUUUCUUUUUUUAAACAGCUGAUAUCCGCUGACCUUUACAUUGUGUGUAUCUCCUCGGAUCUUCUCAUUAUAGCAAAAUCUCAUUACAGAGAAAAUCUCAUUACAUCAACUUACAGACACUUAUUACCUGUUAUUUCUCUUCUUGUAAAGACGUUAUUAUGGACAUACAAGGUUUUCUACAGUGAUCUUAUUUAUCAUUCAUUUUAUAUAUUCAAUGUGUUAUUUUGUUGAUUGCACGUGUCACUUUUUAAUCUGUUUAUAAUUCAGUAUUAGUAUUAGAGUAUUUUAUUAAACUCUUUGGUUUUAGCCACUUUUCUGAUGAAAAAAUAAAGACUUGAUAUAAUCUACUCUGAAAGUCCA
ensembl:lncRNA